GCAGACUCACUCUGCUUCUGGAUACAGUCCCAGGCAGAUACUUGUUUUGUCUGCCAUAGAAACAUUCCAGGGUACUGUGACUACCUUGACCUAUUAAGGGUGAUGCAGCUGCCAGGGGACAAGGUA